AUGUUCAUCAACCAUUGAUUGUUUUCAACUAAUCACAAAGAUAUCGGAACACUGUAUCUGCUAUUUGGUGCAUGAGCGGGGCUAGUAGGCACUGCCUUAAGCCUCCUAAUUCAAGCUGAAAUAGGCCAACCAGGAACUCUAUUAGGAGACGAUCAGAUCUAUAAUGUUAUUGUUACCACCCAUGCAUUCGUCAUAAUCUUCUUUAUGGUGAUACCAAUUACAACUGGGGGUUUCGGCAACUGACUAGUCCCUCUAAUGAUUAGUGCCCCCGAUAUGGCGUUUCCCCUGAUAAAUAAUAUG
rnacentral:lncRNA from 1 species